UACAGAGGGUGCAAACGUUGUUCGGAAUUACUGGGCGUAAAGCGCGUGUAGGCGGCUUCGCAAGUCGGGUGUGAAAUCCCACGGCUCAACCGUGGAAGUGCAUUCGAAACUGCGAGGCUAGAGUCCUGGAGAGGAAGGUGGAAUGCUUGGUGUAGAGGUGAAAUUCGUAGAUAUCAAGCGGAACACCGGUGGCGAAGGCGGCCUUCUGGACAGUGACUGACGCUGAGACGCGAAAGCGUGGGGAAGCAAACAGGAU
rnacentral:rRNA from 1 species